GUCAUUGUUCAGUGGUAGAACAAUGCAUAACAACUUUGCAUGCAUAAGGUCCCAGGUUCAAUCCCUGGUAUCUCCA